rnacentral:rRNA from 1 species
AGAGUUUGAUCCUGGCUCAGAUUGAACGCUGGCGGCAUGCCUUACACAUGCAAGUCGAACGGUAGCGGGCCUUCGGGUGCCGACGAGUGGCGAACGGGUGAGUAAUGUAUCGGAACGUACCUUUCAGUGGGGGAUAACGUAGCGAAAGUCACGCUAAUACCGCAUAUUCUGUGAGCAGGAAAGCAGGGGAUCUUCGGACCUUGCGCUGAUUGAGCGGCCGAUAUCAGAUUAGCUAGUUGGUGAGGUAAAGGCUCACCAAGGCGACGAUCUGUAGCGGGUCUGAGAGGAUGAUCCGCCACACUGGAACUGAGACACGGUCCAGACUCCUACGGGAGGCAGCAGUGGGGAAUUUUGGACAAUGGGGGCAACCCUGAUCCAGCCAUGCCGCGUGAGUGAAGAAGGCCUUCGGGUUGUAAAGCUCUUUCGGCCGGGAAGAAAUCGCAUGGGUUAAUACCCUGUGCGGAUGACGGUACCGGCAUA